UACGGAGGGUGCGAGCGUUGUCCGGAAUCAUUGGGCGUAAAGGGCGCGUAGGUGGCCCGGUCAGUCUUUGGUGAAAGCGCGGGGCUCAACCCUGCGUCGGCCAGGGAUACUGCCGCGGCUCGAGCACCUGUAGAGGCAGGCGGAAUUCCGGGUGUAGCGGUGGAAUGCGUAGAGAUCCGGAAGAACACCAGUGGCGAAGGCGGCCCGCUGGGCAGUGGCUGACGCUGAAGCGCGACAGCGUGGGGAGCAAACAGG
rnacentral:rRNA from 1 species